rnacentral:rRNA from 1 species
UACGUAGGGGGCAAGCGUUGUCCGGAUUUAUUGGGCGUAAAGAGCGUGUAGGCGGCCAUGCAGGUCCGUUGUGAAAACUCGAGCUCAACCUCGAGACGCCGAUGGAAACCGCAUGGCUAGAGUCCGGAAGAGGAGAGUGGAAUUCCUGGUGUAGCGGUGAAAUGCGCAGAUAUCAGGAAGAACACCCGUGGCUAAGGCGGCUCUCUAGUACGGUACUGAGCUGAGA